rnacentral:rRNA from 1 species
CAGCAGCCGCGGGAAUACGAAGGGGGCUGGCGUUGUUCGGAUUUACUGGGCGUAAAGGGCGCGUAGGCGGACUGAUAAGUCAGGGGUGAAAUCCCAAGGCUCAACCUUGGAACUGCCUUUGAUACUGUUUGUCUUGAGUUCGAGAGAGGUAAGUGGAACUGCGAGUGUAGAGGUGAAAUUCGUAGAUAUUCGCAAGAACACCAGUGGCGAAGGCGGCUUACUGGCUCGAAACUGACGCUGAGGCGCGAAAGCGUGGGGAGCAAACAGGAUUAGAUACCCGGGUAGUCCCUGUCUCUUAUAC